AGAUGUGAGGGCGAUCUGGCUGCGACAUCUGUCACCCCACUGAUCGCCAAGGUUGAUUCGGCUGAUCUGGCUGGCUAGGUGGGUGUCCCCUUUCUCCCUCACCGCUCCAUGUGCGUCCCUCCCGAAGCUGUGCGCUCAGUUGAAGAGGACGGCCUUCCCCGAAUAGAGACAGACUGGUCUUCGGUCGAGGGUAUACGAGUAGCUGCGUUCCCCUACUAGAACCUCCAAACAAGCUCUCAAGAAUUAAUAGCAAUAAAAAUGGAUAAACUGGGACCCAGGAGACUUUCAUGCCUGAAACUCAAGAGGUUCCAG
ensembl:misc_RNA 7SK 7SK RNA